rnacentral:rRNA from 1 species
GGGAAUUUUGCACAAUGGGCGCAAGCCUGAUGCAGCAAUGCCGCGUGWGGGAAGAAGGCUUUAGGGUUGUAAACCACUUUCAAUUGGGAAGAAGAGAUGAGUGUUAAUAACAUUCUGAUUUGACGGUACCUUUAGAAGAAGCACCGGCUAAUUUCGUGCCAGCAGCCGCGGUAAUACGAAAGGUGCAAGCGUUGUUCGGAUUUACUGGGCGUAAAGAGAUCGUAGGUGGUUUGUUAAGUUGGAUGUGAAAUCCCGGGGCUCAACCUCGGAAUUGCAUCCAAAACUGACGGACUUGAGUUUGGGAGAGGUAAGCGGAAUUCCGUGUGUAGCAGUGAAAUGCGUAGAUAUAUGGAGGAACACCGAGGCGAAAGCGGCUUUCUGGACCAAUACUGACACUGAGGAUCGAAAGCGUGGGUAGCAAACAGGAUUAGAUACCCYGGUAUCCACGCCCUAAACGAUUCAACUAGCCGUUGCGGCUUUUGACCCCUGCAGU